rnacentral:rRNA from 1 species
UUCUUUAUGUAAAUUAAUUUAAAGUAUAACCUGCUCAAUGAUGAUUUUUAAAUAGCCGCGAUUAUAAUCGUGCGAAGGUAGCAUAAUAAUUUGUCCUUUAAUUAAGGUCUAGAAUGAAUGGUUUUACGAGGAACUUACUUUUUUUAUUAAAGUUUUAAAAAUUUAAUUUUUUGGUUAAAAAGCUAAAAUAGAUUUAUGGGACGAUAAGACCCUAUAAAAUUUUAUUCAUAAAAAUUAUAUUAAUAAUAGGAUUUUUAUUUUUAAAAUAAUUUUUAUGAAUUUGGUUGGGGUGACUGUUUUAUUUGAAAAACUAUAACUUUUUUUAUUCAUUAAUUAAUGAAUUGUUGAUCCUUAAUUUUGGAUUAUAAGAUUAAAUUACUUUAGGGAUAACAGCGUAAUUUUCUUGGGGAGUUCUUAUCUAUAAGAAAGAUUGCGA